UAGAGUUUGAUUAUGGCUCAGAUUGAACGCUGGCGGCAUGCCUUACACAUGCAAGUCGGACGGUAACAGGUCUUUCGGGAUGCUGAAGAGUGGCGAACGGGUGAGUAAUACAUCGGAACGUGCCUAGUAGUGGGGGAUAACUACUCGAAAGAGUGGCUAAUACCGCAUGAGAUCUAUGGAUGAAAGCAGGGGACCUUCGGGCCUUGUGCUACUAGAGCGGCCGAUGGCAGAUUAGGUAGUUGGUGGGAUAAAAGCUUACCAAGCCUGCGAUCUGUAGCUGGUCUGAGAGGACGUUCAGCCACACUGGGACUGAGACACGGCCCAGACUCCUACGGGAGGCAGCAGUGGGGAAUUUUGGACAGUGGGGGAAACCCUGAUCCAGCAAUGCCGCGUGCAGGAUGAAGGCCUUCGGGUUGUAAACUGCUUUUGUAAGGAACGAAAAGUCUUGGGCUAAUACGCUGGGAUCAUGACGGUACCGUAAGAAUAAGCACCGGCUAUAUAGCGUGCCAGCAGCCGCGGUAAU
rnacentral:rRNA from 1 species